CCGAGUGCCUCUCCAGGGAAGAAGAGGACGACGCCAAGAUCCUCCACGGCGUGGCAGAGUGGAGGAAACCAGGCAUCGGAGUCGGUCGCCAUUAUCGCGAUCACCGGCUGGACCCUCCCAACCAUCAGGAGUGGCCAUUGCCGGGACAAGAAGCAGGCCUACGGUUGGUGUAGCCUCCCAGAUUACAACCAAUCCGUUGGAAGGGAGAGCUUCUGUUCCUGUGCCAGCUGCUCCUGAGCCCGGCCCUAGUCAGCCAGUGCCACAGCACCAACCACCACGACAAACAAGGGUGCAGAGCAGGGUAUGCAGAAUAGCAGACCUCCAGUCUCGCCCAUUUAUCCAGGACGAUGAUAUAACAUCUUGUACCAUCUGCAUGGAGGAAUUUACCAUCGGACAGCCAGUAACACCGCUUCCCUGCUCCCAUCUAUACCAUCGUGACUGCAUAUCCCUUUGGCUCAGUUGCAACCCCAGAUGCCCCUUGUGUAGGAGCCAUUGCUUCAGAUGAAACAACAAGAAUAACAUCAAGUAGCUUGGAUUGCAGCCCAGUUUACCACCACUGACCUGACACCAUCAAGGAAGACCCUGCUCCCCGUUCCAUCUACAACCUAUGGGUCCCAGACUAGAACAACUCUAAGGAGCCGCCAAAAAUGUCCUGUUACCAUCAGCAGGACAUUCUCCACCAGAAUAGACAUCUGCAGUGCCUGCUCAUGAGGCUGAACCUCCAGUGCUGCCGGCCUUUUGUAUUUAUACGUCUUCUUGGCCAAGACGGCAGUAUCACUGGAUUUACCAUCGUUUCAGACUAUCUGACCAAUAUUCUUCAGAGCAAAUAAAACAUUUCUGCUUUUACUUCA